rnacentral:rRNA from 1 species
AACGAACGCUGGCGGCAGGCUUAACACAUGCAAGUCGAACGCAUCCUUCGGGGUGAGUGGCAGACGGGUGAGUAACACGUGGGAACGUACCUUUCGGUUCGGGAUAACCCAGGGAAACUUGGGCUAAUACCGGAGUACGUCCUUAGGGAGAAAGAUUCAUUGCCGAAAGAUCGGCCCGCGUCUGAUUAGCUAGUUGGUGAGGUAACGGCUCACCAAGGCGACGAUCAGUAGCUGGUCUGAGAGGAUGAUCAGCCGACACUGGGACUGAGACACGGCCCAGACUCCUACGGGAGGCAGCAGUGGGGAAUAUUGGACAAUGGGCGCAAGCCUGAUCCAGCCAUGCCGCGUGAGUGAUGAA